rnacentral:rRNA from 1 species
UACGUAGGGUGCAAGCGUUAAUCGGAAUUACUGGGCGUAAAGCGUGCGCAGGCGGUUUUGUAAGUCUGUCGUGAAAUCCCCGGGCUUAACCUGGGAACUGCAUUUGUGACUGCACGGCUAGAGUGCGGCAGAGGGGGAUGGAAUUCCGCGUGUAGCAGUGAAAUGCGUAGAUAUGCGGAGGAACACCGAUGGCGAAGGCAAUCCCCUGGGCCUGCACUGACGCUCAUGCACGAAAGCGUGGGGAGCAAACAGG